rnacentral:rRNA from 1 species
UACGUAGGGGGCAAGCGUUGUCCGGAUUUAUUGGGCGUAAAGAGCGUGUAGGCGGCCUUACAGGUCAGCUGUGAAACUCGAGGCUCAACCUCGAGACGUCGGUUGAAACCGUAAGGCUAGAGUCCGGAAGAGGAGAGUGGAAUUCCCGGUGUAGCGGUGAAAUGCGCAGAUAUCGGGAAGAACACCCGUGGCGAAGGCGGCUCUCUGGGACGGUACUGGACGCUGAGACGCGG